rnacentral:lncRNA from 1 species
GAUGGUGUGCCCACUGAAUGGUGAACUGGUGAUAGUUUGUGGUUCUCUAUAGCUGGCGGUUUCGCUCUCUACAAUCAUUUACCUCUUCUGGGAUCUUUUGGAGUACCUAUGGACUUUUAGAUUGAAACACUAUGAUGAAUGUUAUUCGUCGACGUGACUAUCUAUCUAUCUUAUUGUAAAAUUCUUGCUCUUUGAAAUAAUAUAUUCAGGUGGGUAUUCUCUCCCCCUUCGGUGAUUGUCUUAAAAAAAGAAAAAAUGUCAGCACUUAAGUGGUGAGGGUCGUCCCGCACCUCUUUAGGGGGCAACUA